CGGACGGGUGAGUAACGCGUGGGUAACCUGCCUCAUACAGGGGGAUAACAGUUAGAAAUGGCUGCUAAUACCGCAUAAGCGCACGGUACCGCAUGGUACGGUGUGAAAAACUCCGGUGGUAUGAGAUGGACCCGCGUUGGAUUAGCUAGUUGGCAGGGUAACGGCCUACCAAGGCGACGAUCCAUAGCUGGCCUGAGAGGGUGGACGGCCACAUUGGGACUGAGACACGGCCCAG
rnacentral:rRNA from 1 species